UACUCAAUAUACUGAAUCUCUCAAGAUGCUCCAAGGUCAUCGACGCUGAUAUUCAGAGCACUGUCGUCGUGUCCAACUACUGUCCAGCUAUGAAAGGCUGCAGAGAGGGAACCCAUGUUAUGUGCACGUAUUAUGAUCAUGAACACCCGGUGGGCGAACAUUGUCACGAGUAUGUUAGAUUCACAAUAACACCGCAAAUGGUUUAUCAGAUACUUGAAGAAGUCAACUAUAUAAGACUCAAAGUAGCUACGGGGAAAGAAGUUGGAAAAAAUGACCUGCCUUUACCUAGAGCAUAUGGAAUGAUGAA